ensembl:snoRNA SNORD58 Small nucleolar RNA SNORD58
UUGCCGUGAUGACCAUCUUAGGACACCUUUGGAUUAACCAUGAAAACAAACUGUGUUCUGAGCAAC